GUUUCCCAGUGCACCCAACUUGUGAUAGAAGGUAUAUGUUCUGCUGAAAAAGAGAAAAAGGAAAAAAAAGAAUAAAAGCAGAAGAUGAAGCAGAGCUCGCCCUGCCCUCAAGGAGCAUCCUAUCUGGUUUGGAGGGUGGAGAAGGGAAGAGUGGGCAGAAAGACAUUCCUGCAAAGACUGAUGCAUGGAAACCAGGGCACACUCUCCCACUCAGGAGAGGCGCCCUGAAUUCCAUGCCGGGUCAUUACAGAGCCAGUGGCGGAGACUCUAUGAGACCCAGCCCCACUGGCUGCAGCCCCUUCGGAUGCAUCUGCGAGAGCAGCCUGGCCGUCACCCGCCGGCCUGGCCCGUGCUGUCAGCCGGCCAGAGCGUGUCUGAAUCGAGGAAAGCUGACUGGGGCUCGAUUCACACUGACUCGAGCCGCAAGAUCUGAGCAUCAUUACGAGCUGCCAUGGAGGCCCUUCACUACCUUAAACUUCACAACAAGCCUAUGAGGCUCCUCCAGGUAGCCGAGCCUCAGCCACCAGGGCCACAGACUUCUCUGCUGCCUUGAGGGACCUACGGGACUAGCAGGAGCUGCUCUUCCUCGUACGACUUCUACCCACCCAGGGAUAUCACUUGACCUCUCUGAGCCUGCUUCCUCCUGGAGACAACAGUGUAUACUCAGGGCUAUUGCGGGGAAUGACAAGGAAAAUGGAUGAAAAUGUGCUGGAGAAAUUCUGAGGCAUCAGUCAGAUGAAAGAGCCUGUUUGGCGAAGACUUUUCAGGUGUGCCGACUGCCCCAAGCUGACCCAGUGCGGAUCCUAACUGGCCCCACCAGCAUCUUCCAUGCUCACCCAGCUGGCCCAUGUCUUGAAGAUGCCCUGGGCUCCCAGCUCUGCCACCCCAGCUUUCUGAGUCUCCAUGGAUCGGGAUCACUGGGGACCCAGCAGGAAGAAGUUGGAGAAGAUAGGAAGGCAGGACGGGACUGGAAUGAUUCUAGGAUGACCACCCCACUGGCCCCUGCAGCAGAAGGAGCCUCAGCCUGGGCCCUGUCUCUGCCAACGCCCCCUCCUGGCAGAAUGGGCAGCCUAUCUGGGUAAAGACCUGCCCAGACCCCACAGCCAAGGGCAGCCCCUCAGAGAUUCAGGCCAGGAGCGGCCUUUGUUCCCCACACCUGGAGCUCAGAGCUUGCUUAGCCUGCGGUGGAAGCUCUGGUUUAAUUAAGGAUCUUAGGAGAGAAUUCUCUCUUGUUAUUUUCUGAA
rnacentral:lncRNA from 1 species